GACUAGUCUGAAGGUAGUGCGUUCUCUCAAUUGAUGGUUUACAGUCAGUUACAGAUCCAACUCCCUUCUCACAGCUGCCCUUGACUGAGUUCACU
rnacentral:Y_RNA from 1 species